CGCGUAGGCGGCGGGGUAAGUCGGGUGUGAAAUCUCAGGGCUCAACCCUGAAAAUGCACUCGAUACUGCUCUGCUUGAGGACUGGAGAGGAGACUGGAAUUCACGGUGUAGCAGUGAAAUGCGUAGAUAUCGUGAGGAAGACCAGUGGCGAAGGCGGGUCUCUGGACAGUUCCUGACGCUGAGGCGCGAAGGCCAGGGGAGCAAACG
rnacentral:rRNA from 1 species